rfam:Triticum aestivum genome assembly, contig: Triticum_aestivum_CS42_TGACv1_scaffold_328917_4BS
GUGGUACUCCCUCCGUCCAGAAAUACUUGUCCUAAAAAUGGUUGUAUCUAGCCUUAUUUUAGUUAUAGAUACAUUCAUUUUUUUCAUUUCUAAGACAAGUAUUUUCAGACGGAUGGAGUAUUAU